GAUGAACGCUGGCGGCGUGCUUAAUACAUGCAAGUCGAACGGAGGAUGUAGCGAUAUGUCCUCAGUGGCGAACGGGUGAGUAACGCGUUGGUGACCUGCCCCGAAGUGUGGGACAACAGCUCGAAAGGGCUGCUAAUACCGCAUGAGGUCGUUGAGGCUAGAGGCUUGGCGACGAAAGGAGUAAUCCGCUUUGGGAGGGGCCUGCGUCCCAUCAGCUAGUUGGUAAGGUAAAGGCUUACCAAGGCGAAGACGGGUAGGGGGCCUGAGAGGGUGACCCCCCACACUGGCACUGAAACACGGGCCAGACACCUACGGGUGGCAGCAGUAGGGAAUAUUGCACAAUGGGCGAAAGCCUGAUGCAGCAACGCCGCGUGCGCGAAGAAGGUCUUCGGAUCGUAAAGCGCUUUUUGGGGAGAUGAGGAAGGACAGUAUCCCCAGAAUAAGGCUCGGCUAACUACGUGCCAGCCGCCGCCGUAAGAC
rnacentral:rRNA from 1 species